AUUAACUUCUACGGAAGUGAGCUCAAUCCCCGCAACGCUUCGUUCUCGAGUAAUUUAUUCGUAUUUCGCAGGCCUUGUCCGGGAACCCGCCGUCAAGCGACGGCUUCGGCUUGCAGCAGCAGCACCUUCGAUAAGCCAUCUCCAUGGAAACAGCCCAGCAACAGGCUGGCCCCUCAUGGCCAAUGAGAGCGUGAGGUGUCCCGGAUUCUCCUCCAAUGGUGGCGGUGGGCUGCUGAGCUCAAGACGCAGUAGAGGAAGCGUUCCAGACAAAAUGAGUGGAGGGGAGGAAGAAGAGCGAGAAGAGGUGCUUAGCAAGAAAGAGAAGAGGAGUAACCAAAAAACAGCUUGAAGCGACAUUUCUUCUCUGAUUACGUGUUCACCGGUGCAAGGGCAAGACAAUAACCUCUUCCCUCCAGCAAACCAUCACUCACAAGACAUCACGGUAGUAGCAAGCAAUAAUGAUUGAAUGAUCCAGAAAAUCCUGAUUGACAAAAUCAAAUGCCACCCACGUUUUUUCUCAUUUGAGAAGCCAUUUCACUUGGAUAUAAGCCAACUUCUAUUUCAUGCUGACUUUAAUGACAAAAUGUGGCCCAAUUUACUUGAAUUACACUCAUGAGGACAUUAGCAAAUGCAUAGCACUUCAUGUAGGGUGGUGGUGAUUCAGGGCUCUUCAAAACUCGUACUACACUACUAAUUUGCUUUUUCAAGUCACAGUCACGACACCCAGACUGAUUGAUUAGAACCACAGAGCUGUUGCUGUCUUGAGCUGUUGAAAAUGGUGCUUCAUCGUUAGUCGACGUCAUUUCAACCCUUGCCAUACUUGCAUGGAAAUGUAUCCUUACAAUUAAAGAGUAAAAGUGAAAACAGCUAAGUGAAUCUGAAGCUUUGAAGCACAAAUCUUGUAAAGACUGACCAAAUUUAGUUAUAUAAAAAACCUGCUUUCUGUAAGUCUGUAAAUAGCACAGUGCCCCUCGUGUUGUUUUAGAUUUGGCUCCACCCUAGAACUAAGGGUGCUUGAAAUAUUCUGUUGUGUACCCGACUUCAAUAAAUAUUUUAAACGUCUCAAAAAGUUUUCCCUAACGUGUGGAUGAGCAGGGCAUAGGCCUUUAAUGUACUAGUAUGGGAUCCAUUAAGCACUUAGCUUCAGCUCCAAUUUCUUGUAGCCACCAUGAAAUUGGCCUUCAGAAAGCUUUAUGAGUUAUUUAGGAGCUGCCCUUUUUGUGUACCUACACCAGAAGUUGGUUUUGCGUCAGAAUCCAACACGAAAUUCCUUAUAAUGAAGACUGAAAGGCAUUAAAAUGACUGCACAUGCUGUCAGUAGUCUGACAAGGAUGAAAUAUGUUCUCACCACACAUAACAUCAGGUUUACACACACUGCCUGGGCAACUGGAAUUUGCAACAAUUCUUUAACCCUAACUGACGCAUUUGCAUUUGGUAUAUAAUUCUCAAACAACCAAACAUGCCCACAUCUAUAUUCACAAUGCACAAUAUAAUUAAAGCUGAAGGCGGUACCAGCAAAAAAUGGAUUCUGUGGUGGUCUUUCCAACAUAGGUUCAUUCGAAAUAUGUGCUUCUACAUUUCUGAAAAACUGACAAAAAUGUGUCUGUAUGUACUGUUCACUGCAGUUUCCAUUGAAAGGAACACUGGAGGCAGUAAAAUUCCCAUUACAGGAUGGCUCUGGUAUGAACCCGGUGAAACUAUGGUUUCAAAGCUCAAAUCCGCUUAAUAAAGUUAAAAUAGCACAGUUGCAUCAGCAAAUACAUUUUUAUAUUGCUUUUCCAUUUGUUAACACUAUUUGGAAGGUUUAGAGUUGGGUGAGGUGUAGGGGAUAUUUCCAACAUGACAGAACAUUAACCUUUAUCAACACCCCCCGAACAUCUGAAUCCUGAAUAGCCGCAAUACGUACCUCAUGCAGUGUAAUAAAAACUCUGCAAUAUAUACCUGUACUGAUGUAAUAAAAAAGCAUGCCACGGUUACAAAUUAAA